GCAACCUUCAAACCCAGCCAUGGCACAGCCUCGUCUCCUCUGAGCUGUGCUUACACAGAUCAAACAGUGUUUAAGCAGAACUGCCGUUUCCCCUUGCGAGCCGAGGAGCAGAGGCAGCUCUCCCGCAGUAUGAAAGCUGAGCUGUCUCCUCCUGAGGCACCAACCUUCCAGGCCAGUCUAGCAAGGACUCCACCCCAUGAAGCAGCUAUCAGGUCUCAGACAUUGAAGUCUUGCUGUGUCAAAGGUUAUAAAAUGUGGUCAGAGGAGCAAUUUCCUUUUCCCUGGAUUAUGAACAGCAGAGCUGUUCUGUGGCUGAGCUGGUUGGAGCUUCACUUUUGUUGGGCAAACGACCAAGGAUCAUUUAUAGCCAGUGGAAAUUCCUUGCCAGGUUCUCUGCAGUCAGGCUGUGGCCCUUGAAGUUCCUGUCUUGAACCUCUCUGAAGCUGUUGUACUGUUUUCACAUCACUAACUCCUGAACAGAAAGUUUGGGAAGAUUUCAGUACUGAGAGGACCAGGACAGGAUUGGUUCUGUUUCUGUGCAAAAGCAGCAUAAAGUAGUCAUAGAUAGCUCUAGGCCACUAUUAGUGUAUUUGGGGCACCAUUUUAGCACUUGAGUUGAGGGAUAGCAUAAGACUGCCUUUGUCCUCCCUUAGUAUCAUUCUGUGCCAUCUAAAUUACAAUUUUGAGAGGCACAAAGGAAGGGGCAACAUUCAUCCUGCUCGAGCUGAACCUAAUUUAGCUGUUAUUCUGAACCUGAACCCUGUAAUAGCCUUACCCUCCACCAACACUUACAGAUGGCCUGAGAGCAAUGGCCCCUGCAUUUAGGCUUCUCAUCAAGGUGUCUCAAGUGUGUGGAUAACUUCAUAAAAUCAACAUCUGGGCCAUGGGGAGAUGAGAAUCACUUGAUGAAGUCCCAAAAUACAGUUAUGCAAUUUGUGUAGCAUAGAUCAGCAGAGCUAAGCAUGAAGUGCAAUCAGGGAAAGUAUUCCCAGAGAACCUCUGGGUUAGAUUUUGAUCUGAUUGAUCUUAUGCUAAUGUAAGUUAAUGUUCA